rnacentral:misc_RNA from 1 species
GAUGAAGAACGUAGCGAAAUGCGAUAAGUAGUGUGAAUUGCAGAAUUCAGUGAAUCAUCGAUCUUUGAACGCACAUUGCGCCCUUUGGUAUUCCUUAGGGCAUGCCUGUUCGAGCGUCAUUUAAAAAUUCAAGCUCAGCUUGGUGAUGGGUGCCUGUCCCACCUUUGCGUGCGGACUCGCCUCAAAUGCAGUUGGCAGCUUAUCCUCCGGCUCUAAACGCAGCAGAUUUGCGUCGAAGCGCCGUCGGGACGGGCUCUCCAGUAAGCAAACCCCCCCAAGAUUGACCUCGGAUCAGGCAGGGAUACCCGCUGAACUUAAGCAUAUCAAUAAGCGGAGGA